GUGAAGAACGUAGCGAAAUGCGAUAAGUAAUGUGAAUUGCAGAAUUCAGUGAAUCAUCGAAUCUUUGAACGCACAUUGCGCCCCUUGGUAUUCCGGGGGGCAUGCCUGUUCGAGCGUCAUUAUCACCCCUCAAGCUCAGCUUGGUGUUGGGGCCUGCCCGUCACAGGGCAGCCCUUAAAAGCAGUGGCGGUGCCUCUGGGCUCUACGCGUAGUAAUUCUUCUCGCUAUGGAGUCCUGGUGGAUGCUUGCCAUCAACCCCCAAUUUUUCUAUGGUUGACCUCGGAUCAGGUAGGGAUACCCGCUGAACUUAAGCAUAUCAAUAAGCGGAGGA
rnacentral:misc_RNA from 1 species